rnacentral:rRNA from 1 species
GACGAACGCUGGCGGCGUGCCUAACACAUGCAAGUCGAACGGAAAGGCCCCUUUGUGGGUACUCGAGUGUCGAACGGGUGAGUAACACGUGCGUAACCUGCCCUUGACUUUGGGACAACUUCAGCUAACUGGGGCCAAUACCGGAUAGGAAUCCUUGCUGCAUGGUGGGGGUUGGAAAGCUUCGGCGGGUUUUGAUGGAUUCUCGGCUUAUCAGCUUGUUGGUGUGGUAGUGGCUUACCAAGGCGUUGACGGGUAGCAGGCCUGAGAGGGCGACCGGCCACAUUGAGACUGAGAUACGGCCCAGACUGCUACGGGAGGGAGCAGUGGGGAAUAUUGCACAAUGGGCGGAAGCCUGAUGCAGCAACGCCGCGUGCGGGAUGACGGCCUUCGGGGUGAAAAACGCUUUCAGCAGGAGCGAAGCUUGUGGUGACGGUACCUGCAGAAGAAGCACCGGCUAACUACGUG